CCUACGGGUGGCAGCAGUGAGGAAUAUUGGUCAAUGGGCGGAAGCCUGAACCAGCCAAGUCGCGUGAGGGAAUAAGGCCCUACGGGUCGUAAACCUCUUUUGCCGGGGAGCAAGGGCCGGGACGCGUCCCGGCCCGGAGAGUACCCGGAGAAAAAGCAUCGGCUAACUCCGUGCCAGCAGCCGCGGUAAUACGGAGGGAGCGAGCGUUAUCCGGAUUUACUGGGUGUAAAGGGCGUGUAGGCGGGAUGGCAAGUCAGGCGUGAAAACUAUGGGCUCAACCCAUAGCCUGCGUUUGAAACUGUCGUUCUUGAGUGAUGGAGAGGCAAGCGGAAUUCCGGGUGUAGCGGUGAAAUGCGUAGAUAUACGGAGGAACACCAGUGGCGAAGGCGGCUUGCUGGACAUUAACUGACGCUGAGGCGCGAAAGCGUGGGGAGCAAACAGGAUUAGAUACCCUAGUAGUC
rnacentral:rRNA from 1 species